UACGUAGGGGGCUAGCGUUGUCCGGAAUCAUUGGGCGUAAAGCGCGCGUAGGCGGCCCGGUAAGUCCGUUGUGAAAGUCAAAGGCUCAACCUUUGAAUGCCGAUGGAUACUGCCGGGCUCGAGUCCGGAAGAGGCGAGUGGAAUUCCUGGUGUAGCGGUGGAAUGCGCAGAGUAUCAGGAGGAACACCGAUAGCGAAGGCAGCUCGCUGGGACGGUACUGACGCUAAGGCGCGAAAGCGUGGGGAGCGAACG
rnacentral:rRNA from 1 species